rnacentral:rRNA from 1 species
GACGAACGCUGGCGGCGUGCCUAAUACAUGCAAGUUGAGCGCUCAGAUGUGGUACUUGUUCCUACUACAUUAGCGGCGGACGGGUGAGUAACGCGUGGAUAAUCUACCUUUAAGCCUGGGACAACUUUUGGAAACCGGUGCUAAUACCGCAUAAUAUCUUUAACCGCAUGGUUUAAUAUUGAAAGAUGCUAUUGCUUUCACUAAUAGAUGUCUCCGCGCCUCAUUACCUAUUUGGUAAGUAAACGCCUUACCAAGGGAACAAAGAGUGGCCGACUUGACAGGGUGUACGGCAAAACUGGAACGGGGACACGGUCAAGACUCCUAAGGAAGGAAGCAGAAGGGAAUCUUGCGCAAUGGGCGAAAGCCUGACGGAGCAACGCCGCGUGAGUGAUGAAGGUCUUCGGAUCGUAAAACUCUGUUAUUAGGGAAGAACAAAUGUGUAAGUAACUAUGCACGUCUUGACGGUACCUAAUCAGAAAGCCACGGCUAACUACGUG